UACAGGGGGUGCAAACGUUGCUCGGAAUCAUUGGGCGUAAAGCGCACGCAGGCGGUCUGUUAUGUCGGAUGUGAAAGCCCUUGGCUCAACUGAGGAAGUGCAUCCGAAACUGGCAGGCUAGAGUACUAAAGAGGAUCGCGGAAUUCCCGGUGUAGAGGUGAAAUUCGUAGAUAUCGGGAGGAACACCGGUGGCGAAGGCGGCGAUCUGGGUAGAUACUGACGCUGAGGUGCGAAAGCGUGGGGAGCAAACAGG
rnacentral:rRNA from 1 species